CCAGGCCUGCCAGCGGGGGUGUAAACCAGUUCAAGGCGGCUUGAAGCCUUCGGGCUUGCCCAGGAGCAAGCUGGACCCCGCUAUGCAACUCUCAGAGUCCCCAGUUCUUACUGGGUUGGUGAGGAUUCCGCGGGCAAGAUUUCAGUGGCUAUCCUCAUUGGUCCACUCCGUAAAGCUAUCAGAGGAACUCCUGCCACCCAGUGCCUCACCACACCAGUCCACAGCAAGCACAAGGAGACGUGAGGGCUGGCAUGUGCAACCCGCCAAGGCCGUGGCCAUGAAAAGGGCUACAAGUUCCACUGCACCGUUGCUGGUUCCCGCCGUGCAGCUUGGAGAAGACCAAUGCUCUUCAGCUCCACCGUAAUAUAGGUUAUUAGGGUGACCAACGAUUCGAAAAUGUCUGGAAAUAACACAAUCCAAAUAAUCCGUUGCCCAGAUAUGAGAUAUCAACGCUAAAAGAAGGACAGUCCCAGCACUAGCCUGAUCUUGUCCAGGAAAUGCUAAAAUUUUUAAAAGGUGGGGGAGAAGAAUAGAAAGAAAAUAUGCCUCAUUGAGUGACACUCAGAGCACAUGUAGCCACCAUGUGACCCCAACAUGGUGCUGAAAAAGCCCUUCCCUGUCUCUGGGGCUGCCUGUGGAGCAAACUUCAGCUCUCCAAGCAUGCGGCUACCUUCUGCCAACUGUCAACAGCAUCUAUUGCCAGCUCUGAGGAGUAUGGGAAGCAGAACAGGGGAUGAGAGGAAAGGACUGCAGAGAGCACAUUUCUGUAUCCGUCAGCAGCCAAACUGAAGACUCACCAGGAUCUGCCGUGACAGAUUUCCUGGUUCAUGAACUGAAAUCAGAAUGCUUAACUGCUCAGCUACUUCUGUGAUAGAGGAAACGUAAGUUGUCUAGCUGGCGUACGGUUUCAGAAAAUGCAUUACAUUCUCUAAAAGAAAGAAAAGUAUCUCUCUUAACAACGGCGUCAUUUCCACAUCCUCUUCUCUUUAAACUUGUGCCAGAAGAUAUGCCAUGAUUAGUUCUCUUUAAGAGAAACUUCCAGUCGUAUGUGCAAAGAUCAAUGUUGCUUGAAUUCAUCCAUUGGAGUGUCUCCAAGACAGGAGGGAAAUGCCUGGUGGAGGCGGUCCCCACCUCAGACGGUACUGAGAUGAAGGAUGACCAAGAAACACCCUCUCUCCAUCCUAUUCUGGCCCCUCCUGAUCUCAUCUUCACUCCACCAAACCUACUCCAUCCUGUGUUACUCCCACCGAGAAUCCCGCCAGCACCCUGUCUACACUGUGUCUCUGCUGAAGCCCUCUUCACAUUUUAGGGUGACAACAUCUUUCCCCGUGUCCUCCCUGCUAGCCUGCAGGCCCCCGUGCAUCAGUCUUCUGGUCACUCUCAUCCCUGGGGGGUCCAGUCCCCAUGCAGGCCCAGAAAUGGUACCUGACCAGCUGAGGGGCUGACAGGCCUUACCUCUGAGGGGGAUUUGAAGCCCUGAAGCCCUGCCUGGGUUUUACCGCUGAGGUUCUUGCGUCACUGCCAUGGUUUUCCUUGGGGCACUUGACCUUGAAGACUGUGUCAGCACCUGCUUCCAUCGUGAUCACCUCCUCGGCUUUGUGUCUUGUCUGAUUUACACGAAGACAUCACUGGCUUGCAUUUGUAGAGCACUUGAUGCAGAGCCCAGCUCGGAGUUUACGGCUGGUGGCAAGGGGUUAACUCCCAGGAUGUGUGGAAUCAUCGGCCAGAGUUGGAAUGGUGCCCUGGAAGUCCUAGACUAUUCAUAUGUUGUAGGGAAAAAAACAUAAGGAACGUAGGAAGAAGAGGAAAGAAUGGAGACAAUUUAAAAAGGAAAGAGCUGGAGAAUGACUUCAUUUCUUCUUUCAUGCAUUAGUGGAGUAGUUGAACAGAACACUGAACAGAUAUGUGAAGUGUUCAUGGAGCCCCGGUUAUCCCAGGCGCCGUCCUGGGUGUAAGGAAUGUAGGAGUGAACAUGGCGGACGAGGUCAUGGGCCUCAGAUUCUGCGCCCAGCACCCCUCGGGAGCCUGGGGAAUAUGCCCGGCCCAGGUCACAUAGCUGGAAUACCUAGCAGCUUCCCCCCCGUUACCAUGGAGACCCCACGGAAAAGAGGAGAAGAGGAGGGAGGUCCUCUCUGGUAUCAUCCAGCAGCUUCCAGCCUUCUCUCAUCUUGGCCUAAGCAGUGGCCCUUCUGCCAGCUGCUCAUACCACCCACGCUGGGCCUCUGGCAGAGGGGGAAGGAGCAGGUGACCCCUGGGGGCUUCAGGCUGAAGGUGAUGUAUGCCACGGAGGAGGGGACGUUGGCUCUGCCUCACGGCUGGCCCAGCAGAACUGCCACGAAGAAAAUUAUGAGAUUGCUAGGACAGAUCAGAGGCAGCCAAGGGGUAAAGCCAACCUUUUACCCUGAUGCUGAUGGAACGUGUCUUCUUUGGGCGAUUCUGCAUCACUUCCUGAUUCUCUGAUGCACGGAGCCUGUUUACCUUCCAGUUCUGCAUAGCGAUGGUCAACCGCUCCUCUAGCUGGGCCUAGGAUGAGCCUUAGUUGAGUCCUACGGAUGUUUGUGGCAACUCUUUGGAGACAUGUGGCAGUGCUGCAAGGUCCUGAGCCCACUGCGAUGAAAAGGAGAAGAGGGAGCUACUCCUCACUCUCCCUGUAGUGCCAGGAGGAGGACAAGUGUCAGGAGGAGGACAGCAGCAAGGAAAGCCCAGUCUUGGCACCUGGCAGACCUGGAGGAGCUUCUGCAAAUCCAGAUCCAGCUGGAGAAACAGGGGGACAAGGCCCCAGAGCAGAUGGCUGCCCUUUGGUGCCCACCUGGCUGUGAACGUCGUGAGGAGCUCUCUAGGCAGUGGGCCCAGAUGACAGGAGCCAAGCAGGGCAGGGCAGUGGCAGGGGGAGCUGAGGGGUCUCUUCCCUGGCACACAAGAGCUCUAUGGGAACCCCCUAAAUAACGUGUGUGCAAGGCCCACAGUAGCACACUGAAGAGAAAUACUGUUUAUUUCUGCUAAUGUGACCCUAUCUUAGCCUCCUGGCCAAUGUGGCUUUGGAUGCAUAUGAUUACAUCAGGGUUUUAUGUAAAAUAUAUAAUAAAAAUAUUUUAUUCU